rnacentral:rRNA from 1 species
CCUACUGGAUGCAGCAGUGGGGGAUAUUGCACAAUGGAGGGAACUCUGAUGCAGCGACGCCGCGUGGGUGAAGAAGUACUUCGUUAUGUAAAGCCCUAUCAGCAGGGAAGAAAGUGACGGUACCUGAAGAAGAAGCUCCGGCUAAAUACGUGCCAGCAGCCGCGGUAAUACGUAUGGAGCAAGCGUUAUCCGGAUUUACUGGGUGUAAAGGGAGAGUAGAUGGCAGAGCAAGUCCGAAGUGAAAGCCCAAAGCUCAACGAGGGGAAUGCUUUAGAAACUGCGCAGCUGGAGUGCAGGAGAGGCAGGUGGAAUUCUUAGUGUAGCGGUGAAAUGCGUAGAUAUUAGGAGGAACACCAGUGGCGAAGGCGGCUUGCUGGACUGUAACUGACACUGAGGCUCGAAAGCGUGGGGAGCAAACAGGAUUAGAUACCCCAGUAGUC